rnacentral:rRNA from 1 species
UUUGACCUCAAAUCAGGUAGGACUACCCGCUGAACUUAAGCAUAUCAAUAAGCGGAGGAAAAGAAACUAACAAGGAUUCCCCUAGUAACUGCGAGUGAAGAGGGAAAAGCUCAAAUUUAAAAUCUGGCAGUCUCUGGCUGUCCGAGUUGUAAUUUAGAGAAGUGUUACCCGUGCUGGACCGUGUAUAAGUCUCCUGGAAUGGAGCGUCAUAGAGGGUGAGAAUCCCGUCUUUGACGCGGACUCCCAGUGCAUUGUGGUACGCUCUCGAAGAGUCGAGUUGUUUGGGAAUGCAGCUCUAAAUGGGUGGUAAAUUCCAUCUAAAGCUAAAUAUUGGCGAGAGACCGAUAGCGAACAAGUACCGUGAGGGAAAGAUGAAAAGAACUUUGGAAAGAGAGUUAAACAGUACGUGAAAUUGCUGAAAGGGAAACGCUUGAAGUCAGUCGCGUUAUCCAGGGAUCAACCUUGCUUUAGUGAGGCGUACUUCCUGGAUGACGGGUCAGCAUCAGUUUUGACCGUCGGAAAAAGGCUUAGGGAAUGUGGCAUCUCCGGAUGUGUUAUAGCCCUUUGUCGUAUACGGCGGUUGGGACUGAGGAACUCAGCACGCCGCAAGGCCGGGUUUUUAACCACGUUCGUGCUUAGGAUGUUGGCAUAAUGGCUUUAAGCGACCCGUCUUGAAACACGGACCAAGGAGUCUAACAUGCUUGCGAGUGUUUGGGUGGAA